rnacentral:rRNA from 1 species
AGUGAACGCUGGCGGUAGGCCUAACACAUGCAAGUCGAACGGCAGCACAGUAAGAGCUUGCUCUUACGGGUGGCGAGUGGCGGACGGGUGAGGUAUACAUCGGAAUCUACUUUUUCGUGGGCGAUCACGUAGGGCAACUUACGCUAAUACCGCAUACGACCUACGGGUGAAAGCAGGGGAUCUUCGGACCUUGCGCGAUUGUAUGAGCCGAUUUCUGAUUAGCUAGUUGGCGGGGCAAAGGCCCACCAAGGCGACGAUCCGUAGCUGGUCUGAGAGGUUGAUCAGCGACCCUGGCACUAAAUCACGGUCCAGACUCCUAGGGGCGGCAGCAGUGGGGAAAAUUCGACAAUGGGCGAAAGCCUGAUGAAACCAAAACGCGUGCGUGAAGAAGGCCGUCGGGUUGUAAAGACCUUUUGUUGGGAAAGAAGAGCGGCAGGUUAAUACCCGGAUGGUGUGACGGUACCCAACGAGUAAGCACCGGCUAACCUCGUG